rnacentral:snoRNA from 1 species
AUCCCAUGAUGAGGACACUUACGAAGUAAUUCCUUGAAUCUUUCCCAUAUCUCAUAUAAGGACUUGUCAUCCAAUUGUGAAAAAGUGGUUAUCUUAUUUCACAACUU